CUAAACUGAUCAUAUCUCUUGAAGUUAUCUGAUUCUUAUAACUUUCUGUGUUACACUGCAUUGCUUGUCUGUCUCUUAAUUUUGAUUUAACUAAAAUUGCUUUUAUUUGUCUGACUAUCAGUUUGCAAGGAAAGGCCUUUAUUGAUUUAUCUCCACAUGUAUUUUCUCUAUCAAAAUUUUCAAUCAACAUAUUUAAUUUUUCAUUUGCUUUUGAUUUG